GAAAAACUCAGGGUUAUUUCUAAAAUGUACUUCUGUUUUAAUAGAUUAGAUAGUAUCUCCUCACUUUGAUAUGGAAGUUAUUAGUGCUUUAACGUGUUUCUUAAAUUUUUGUAGCUUUUUUCAAAUUCAAAUAUGAAUGCAGGGUACUCGAACGGACCGAUUUGAACACGAGAAGAGCUAUCAAAUUUUUGACUUCAUAGAACAAAAACUACUAUAUAUAUGAUAUAAACUUUUAUGUAAUUUACAAUCAAGCGAAGAGAUAAAGAAAUAAAGUGAAUUAAUAGAUAAAUAAUAUAAAGUUAAUGUAAAAUAGUGGAAUAAUUGAUAAUUUGCAACCAUCUCAUCCUUGACUGUUAAUUCUGGAAAACAGUUAAUCAGAUAUAAAUUACUGCAUGCAGUUUUAAAGACAUAUUUAUAAACAUUUUAAUAGACUUAUUUAGCAAAACAGAAAACAAACCAACAUUGAAACAGGCUUACUUUAACUCAUUACAAGCUGGAAAGAAAAAAAACAAAAAAAAAUUCUCCAUAUUUAAUCUUAUGCAUUAGUAUUCAUUAAUAAUUCUGCAUGGCUAAUCACAUAAUUAAUUACAUGUAACUAUAGAUCAUAUUCUAAAACAAAGUAAAUAUAAUCCCAGGAUUUCAUUUGUAAAAAUAAGAGCUGACUUUCAAAUAAUGUUAAGUCAACUUCAUAAAUUUCAGAGUGAUCGGUGCUAAAUUCCAAGAUGUAAAAUGAUAUUACAUGCCAUAUGUUUUAAUAAUCAAGUCAAAUAUGAAAUUCAACAGAAAUAUAUUUAUUGGGAUCUGUAACGCGUUUAGAAUAGAACCGUAAUGAUAGUAAAGUCAUGUCCCCAAAAUACUCGCUGAUGUUAUAAGCAGCAAGUCCUAGGGGUGGACACUUUAUCCGAUACCCGAAGCCGCAUCCGAAUCCGAUCUGAAAAACUCGAACCAAAAUCCAAAGCGAAGUAACAAAAUAUCCGAACGGAUAUUAAGUUAGGAGAGAUUGGAUAUCCAAACCCAAACGGGUAAUAUCCGAACCCG
rnacentral:lncRNA from 1 species